GACGAACGCUGGCGGCGUGCUUAACACAUGCAAGUCGAACGGAAAGGCCUGCGUUCCCUUGUGGAUUGCGGGUACUCGAGUGGCGAACGGGUGAGUAACACGUGAGUGAUCUGCCCCCAACUUGGGUAUAAGCCUGGGAAACUGGGUCUAAUUCCCGAUAGGACUGCAGGGUGGUGCCUGUAGUGGAAAACGUUUUUCUAGUGGUUGGGGAUGAGCUCGCGGCCUAUCAGCUUGUUGGUGGGGUAAUGGCCUACCAAGGCGGCGACGGGUAGCCGGCGGGAGAGGGUCGACGGUCGAAAUGAAGCUGAGACACGGCCCAGAGUCCUACGAGAGGCAGAAGCGGAGAGUAUUGCACGCAGGGCGGAAGCCUGAUGGAUCGACGCCGCGUGGGUGAUGACGGCCUUCGGGUUGUAAACUCCUUUCGACCGCGAGGAAGCCACCUGGUUGGAAGGGUGGUGACGGUAGUGGUAGGAGGAGCACCGGCUAACUACGUG
rnacentral:rRNA from 1 species